rnacentral:rRNA from 1 species
UACAGAGGGGGCAAGCGUUGUUCGGAAUUACUGGGCGUAAAGGGCGCGUAGGCGGCCUGCUAAGUCGAACGUGAAAUCCCCGGGCUCAACCCGGGAACUGCGUCCGAUACUGGCAGGCUUGAAUCCGGGAGAGGGAUGUGGAAUUCCAGGUGUAGCGGUGAAAUGCGUAGAGAUCGGGAGGAACACCAGAGGCGAAGGCGGCGACCUGGACAGGCACUGACACUCAACUACGAAAGCGUGGGGAGCAAACAGG